GAUGAACGCUGGCGGCGUGCCUAAUACAUGCAAGUCGAGCGAACAGACGAGGAGCUUGCUCCUCUGAUGUUAGCGGCGGACGGGUGAGUAACACGUGGAUAACCUACCUAUAAGACUGGGAUAACUUCGGGAAACCGGAGCUAAUACCGGAUAACAUGUUGAACCGCAUGGUUCAACAGUGAAAGACGGUCUUGCUGUCACUUAUAGAUGGAUCCGCGCCGCAUUAGCUAGUUGGUAAGGUAACGGCUUACCAAGGCAACGAUGCGUAGCCGACCUGAGAGGGUGAUCGGCCACACUGGAACUGAGACACGGUCCAGACUCCUACGGGAGGCAGCAGUAGGGAAUCUUCCGCAAAGGGCGAAAGCCUGACGGAGCAACGCCGCGUGAGUGAAGAAGGUCUUCGGAUCGUAAAACUCUGUUAUUAGGGAAGAACAAAUGUGUAAGUAACUAUGCACGUCUUGACGGUACCUAAUCAGAAAGCCACGGCUAACUACGUG
rnacentral:rRNA from 1 species